rnacentral:lncRNA from 1 species
GUUAAUUUGUCUUUUGUGUAAUCAUGUUUACAGAUGGUCUCUCGCUAUUUGCUUUCAUGUCGACGCGAACAAAGAGAUUUACCGUUGUUUGUGAACGUAUUUAAGCCGUGUGUGAGCAACUGUGGUCGUUUAUUACAUUUCCGCAGAAAGUAAACGCUUCACAGCGUGAUGCAAGCCAGCCAAAAGGCACAAAGCACAACAACUACAACGAAGGCUAAACGACCUGGAUUAAAAAGCGUUGCGGGUCCUUCGCACGAGACGACCAAUGGCAUUUCUCAAAG